GACAGAGGUGCCGAGCGUUAGGCGGAAUCACUGGGCUUAAAGCGUGUGUAGGCGGGCGAUCAAGUGUCUUGUGAAAUCCCACGGCUCACCCGUGGAACUGCUGGGCAUACUGGGCGUCUUGGGCCAACUAGGGGCAGCCGGAACAAGCGGUGGAGCGGUGAAAUGCGUAGAUAUCGCUUGGAACGCCGAAGGUGAAAACAGGCUGCUGGGGUUGCGCCGACGCUGAGACACGAAAGCCAGGGGAGCAAACGGG
rnacentral:rRNA from 1 species